UGAGUUGUCAUCUCAUAUCUUUCUCCAAAGUGGAAUGCUAUAUUCGUGGUCCGUUUUGAGAAUUUUCUGCAAAGUCCUAACUUCGUGGGAUUUCUAAGGACGUUGAAUAUAAGCAUAGAGGCAUGCUUUAGGAUAUCGUAUCUUUGAUAUCAUACCUUGAGCUGUUAAAGACUAGUGUGCUGGGUUUAGGGCAAGACCUAGGUUUACUUCUUGUUUUAGGGGGUGCGACGACUAAUUCGACUUAAGUAUCCUGUUACAGUUUCGACCUGAUUCCAUACCGAUUUAAAGUCCGCGAUAGGUUCUCGGAUUAUACGACUUGUCCGGUUGGAAUCGAGCAUAUCUCUAAGGACAAGUUUUAAGUCUCCUAGAAGUGCUGACCAAAAUUUCGGAUUUCUUUUAUAACGCUAUUAUCCUUGUGUCAGAUGUAUGAGGGUCAUCUUCGUGAGGUGGCUUAUCUGUUUAGGACGUUUAAGAGUUCGAUGUGAUCAGCAACGAACUUGGUGGUAGAUACUACCGUUUGGGUCUUCGCAAAGAGUAUGUGUUUGAAGAGAUGUUAGUGCGUAUUAUUUUUUAGACAAGGGUUUUGUUUUGUUGGAUGGGAAGUAGUUUCUUAGGCGUCUUUGCGACGCCUCGCAAUACCAAAGGUUGAUUUUUCUUUUAGGACUCGAAUAUAAUUUG
rnacentral:lncRNA from 1 species